rnacentral:tRNA from 1 species
GGGUCGUUAGCUCAGUUGGUAGAGCAGUUGACUUUUAAUCAAUUGAUCGCAGGUUCGAAGCCGGCGCGACCCACCA